GCCUAGAGAACAUGUAUCGUGUACCUCUCCUCUUUCCCUUUGUGUUCAUCAUUUUGGCAAAUUACUGAAAGAUGGCAGUUCCGGCCAAAAGGGAAAGAGUAGAGGUACU